rnacentral:rRNA from 1 species
AUUGAACGCUGGUGGGAUGCCUUACACAUGCAAGUCGAGCGGGCGAGGUUGCUUCGGUAACUGAGCUAGCGGCGGACGGGUGAGUAAAGCUUAGGAAUCUGCCUAUUAGUGGGGGACAACAUUCCGAAAGGGAUGCUAAUACCGCAUACGUCCUACGGGAGAAAGCAGGGGAUCACUUGUGACCUUGCGCUAAUAGAUGAGCCUAAGUCGGAUUAGCUAGUUGGUGGGGUAAAGGCCUACCAAGGCGACGAUCUGUAGCGGGUCUGAGAGGAUGAUCCGCCACACUGGGACUGAGACACGGCCCAGAAUCCUACGGGAGGCAGCAGUGGGGAAUAUUGGACAAUGGGGGGAACCCUGAUCCAGCCAUGCCGCGUGUGUGAAUAAGGCCUUUUGGUUGUAAAGCACUUUAAGCGAGGAGGAGGCUUACCUGGUUAAUACCUAGGAUAAGUGGACGUUACUCGCAGAAUAAGCACCGGCUAACUCUGUGCCAGCAGCCGCCGUAACAC